rnacentral:rRNA from 1 species
AUUGAACGCUGGCGGCAUGCUUUACACAUGCAAGUCGAACGGCAGCGCGGGCUUCGGCCUGGCUGCGAGUGGCGAACGGGUGAGUAAUGCAUCGGAACGUGCCCAGUAGUGGGGGAUAGCCCGUCGAAAGCCGGAUUAAUACCGCAUACGACCUGAGGGUGAAAGCGGGGGACCGAAAGGCCGCGCGCUAUUGGAGCGGCCGAUGUGGGUUUAGUUAGUUGGUGGGGUAAUGGCUUACUAAGGCGACGAUCCGUAGCUGGUCUGAGCGGACGACCGCCCGCAUGGGGACUGGAACACGGACCAUGCUACUACGGGAGGCCGCAGUGGGGAAUUUUGGACAAUGGGGGCAAACCUGAUCCAGCCAUGCCGCGUGCGGGAAGACGGCCUUCGGGUUGUAAACCGCUUUUGUUCGGGAAGAACUCCUCUGGGCUAAUACCAAGGGGGGAUGACGGUAACGGAAGAAUAAGCACCGGCUAACUACGUG